rnacentral:rRNA from 1 species
GUUGAUAGGUGGAAGGUGGAAGCGUAGUAAUACGUGCAGCUGAUCCAUACUAAUAGGUCGAGGGCUUAACCAA